AUACGGGGGGAGCAAGCGUUGUCCGGAAUUACUGGGCGUAAAGGGCGUGUAGGCGGCUUGAUAAGUCAGAUGUGAAAGCCUUCCGCUUAACGGAAGAACUGCAUUUGAAACUGUCGGGCUUGAGUGCGAGAGAGGGUAGUGGAAUUCCCAGUGUAGCGGUGAAAUGCGUAGAUAUUGGGAAGAACACCAGUAGCGAAGGCGGCUACCUGGCUCGUAACUGACGCUAAGGUACGAAAGCGUGGGGAGCGAACAGGAGUAGAUACCCGAGUAGUCC
rnacentral:rRNA from 1 species